rnacentral:rRNA from 2 species
GGGUUGUGAGGUUAAGCGACUAAGCGUACACGGUGGAUGCCCUGGCAGUCAGAGGCGAUGAAGGGCGUGCUAAUCUGCGAUAAGCGCCGGUAAGGUGAUAUGAACCGUUAUAACCGGCGAUACCCGAAUGGGGAAACCCAGUGUGACUCGUCACACUAUCAUUAACUGAAUCCAUAGGUUAAUGAGGCGAACCGGGGGAACUGAAACAUCUAAGUACCCCGAGGAAAAGAAAUCAACCGAGAUUCCCCCAGUAGCGGCGAGCGAACGGGGAGGAGCCCAGAGCCUGAAUCAGCAUGUGUGUUAGUGGAAGCGUCUGGAAAGGCGCGCGAUACAGGGUGACAGCCCCGUACACAAAAGCGCAUGUGCUGUGAGCUCGAUGAGUAGGGCGGGACACGUGGUAUCCUGUCUGAAUAUGGGGGGACCAUCCUCCAAGGCUAAAUACUCCUGACUGACCGAUAGUGAACCAGUACCGUGAGGGAAAGGCGAAAAGAACCCCGGCGAGGGGAGUGAAAAAGAACCUGAAACCGUGUACGUACAAGCAGUGGGAGCACCCUUUGGGUGUGACUGCGUACCUUUUGUAUAAUGGGUCAGCGACUUAUAUUCUGUAGCAAGGUUAACCGAAUAGGGGAGCCGGAGGGAAACCGAGUCUUAACCGGGCGUUAAGUUGCAGGGUAUAGACCCGAAACCCGGUGAUCUAGCCAUGGGCAGGUUGAAGGUUGGGUAACACUAACUGGAGGACCGAACCGACUAAUGUUGAAAAAUUAGCGGAUGACCUGUGGCUGGGGGUGAAAGGCCAAUCAAACCGGGAGAUAGCUGGUUCUCCCCGAAAGCUAUUUAGGUAGCGCCUCGUGAAUUCAUCUCCGGGGGUAGAGCACUGUUUCGGCUAGGGGGCCAUCCCGGCUUACCAACCCGAUGCAAACUGCGAAUACCGGAGAAUGUUAUCACGGGAGACACACGGCGGGUGCUAACGUCCGUCGUGAAGAGGGAAACAACCCAGACCGCCAGCUAAGGUCCCAAAGUCAUGGUUAAGUGGGAAACGAUGUGGGAAGGCCCAGACAGCCAGGAUGUUGGCUUAGAAGCAGCCAUCAUUUAAAGAAAGCGUAAUAGCUCACUGGUCGAGUCGGCCUGCGCGGAAGAUGUAACGGGGCUAAACCAUGCACCGAAGCUGCGGCAGCGACACUGUGUGUUGUUGGGUAGGGGAGCGUUCUGUAAGCCUGUGAAGGUGUGUCGUGAGGC